rnacentral:rRNA from 1 species
ACACAUGCAAGUCGAACGGUAACAGGAAACAGCUUGCUGUUUCGCUGACGAGUGGCGGACGGGUGAGUAAUGUCUGGGAAACUGCCUGAUGGAGGGGGAUAACUACUGGAAACGGUAGCUAAUACCGCAUAACGUCGCAAGACCAAAGAGGGGGACCUUCGGGCCUCUUGCCAUCAGAUGUGCCCAGAUGGGAUUAGCUAGUAGGUGGGGUAACGGCUCACCUAGGCGACGAUCCCUAGCUGGUCUGAGAGGAUGACCAGCCACACUGGAACUGAGACACGGUCCAGACUCCUACGGGAGGCAGCAGUGGGGAAUAUUGCACAAUGGGCGCAAGCCUGAUGCAGCCAUGCCGCGUGUAUGAAGAAGGCCUUCGGGUUGUAAAGUACUUUCAGCGGGGAGGAAGGGAGUAAAGUUAAUACCUUUGCUCAUUGACGUUACCCGCAGAAGAAGCACCGGCUAACUCCGUGCCAGCAGCCGCGGUAAUACGGAGGGUGCAAGCGUUAAUCGGAAUUACUGGGCGUAAAGCGCACGCAGGCGGUUUGUUAAGUCAGAUGUGAAAUCCCCGGGCUCAACCUGGGAACUGCAUCUGAUACUGGCAAGCUUGAGUCUCGUAGAGGGGGGUAGAAUUCCAGGUGUAGCGGUGAAAUGCGUAGAGAUCUGGAGGAAUACC